UAGAGCUUCGCGUGGGCUAUCCGUAGAGGCCGGACACGUGUGCGGCUAUACAAGGUGAUCAAGGCAUCAUCAAAGUUCUCAAAGCGAAAAGGUAUGAGAUCUGAUCUCAUUAAACAUUAAAAUUAAAAAUUAACUAGGUUGCUGAAAUUCUACAUGACUACAUGUUAGACCUAGAAACAUGCUUACUUGUUUAGGAUAAAUGUUUAAAGUUCUGGAUCUAUUUUUGUUGUAGAGAUAUGAUCUCUAGCAUGCAUAGAAAUUAAAUAGUUUAAUUAAUGCUUUCGCUGUAAAAUUUUUAAAAAUAUAUGCAUGCGACCACCAGGGUUUCCAACAUACUCAACUUCCUUUGCGGGUUGAUCAGAGGCACGAAAUAUAUUUAACUUGACCUUCAUAUUCCCAAAAGAUAUAUUUAUCACCCAAGUUCUACCAUUUAUACAUGCAUUUGCUGUAGCUAAAAAGGGACGACCUAGAAUCAUAGGGAUCUGUUUUUUAAAGUUAGACACAGGCUCCAUAUCAUGGAUGAUAAAAUCGACUGAAAAAUAAAAUUUGUCUACCUUGACUAGGACGUCUUCAAUUGUUUCUCGUGGUACUUUUACAGAUCUAUCAGCCAAUUGCAGAGACACCGAAGUAGGCUUCAAUUCAUCUAGUCCAAAUUUCUCAUAAACUGAGUAAGGAAGAAGAUUAACACUAGCUCAUAAAUUUAAGAGUGCUUGAUCAAUAAGAUUAUCUCCUACGAUACAAGGAUGGUAGGUGCACCAGGAUCCUUGAACUUAGGAGGGGUUUUGUGCUAGAGGAUGGAGCUUACUUGUUCAGUUAGGAAGACCUUUUUAGGCACAUGUGUUCUAGAUUUUCGUUUCUGGGUACAAAGAUCUUUGAGAAAUUUGGCAUAGAAUGGAACUUGUUUUAUGGCAUCAAGGAGAGAGAGGUUGAUUUUGACUUGUUUAAAAACCUCCAUUAUUUCUUCUAACGAAGUUCCUUUCAUGCCAAAGGGAGAAGGUGCAUUCAGAUACUGAGGAAAAGGGGCCUUCGGUGUAGACGGUGUGGUCGAUACUGGACUAGAUAGCGGCAAAGAAGAGUUUGAGUUCUCUUUAGGCACAGUCAUACUCCUGUCUUCAUUUUCCUUAUGUUCUUUUUCUCCAACCUUAUUAUCCACUACACGUCCGCUUCUUAAGGUAGUCAUGGCGUUAGCUUGUUCAUGGUGAACAUCAUUCGGAUGAGUCUCUUGAGCCAUGUACUGCCCUCUUGGAUUACUCACUGGUUGACUUGGAAGCUUGCCUUCCUCUCUCUUUUUUAGUGCACUAGCUAGCUGCCUUAGCUGGGUUUCUAAUUUGGCAAUAGAGUGGAUAUGAGAGUGCAACAAUUAUGUAUUAGCUUCGAGUCCUUGAAAGGCAGUCAAAACUUUUUGCUCAAAAGCCAUAUCUCUUUGGGGUGCUGAAGGAGGGACUUGUUGAAAUUAUGAAUAGUGAGUAGGAGGACGGUUUGGAUGAACAUUAUAGAACGGUUGAAAAUUUUGGAAGUAAGGUUGGGAGGUAUUAGGAGUCUGCUACUUCCAAGAGAAUUGCGCCACCCCGGAUUGUAAGUGGUAGAAUAUGCAUCAUUACCCGGUCGGGAUUGUGUUUGGGCAGCAUUAACUUGUUCUUGUAUAAAUUUAGGAAAUUGAGCUGCCGAAGGGCACUCAAAAAUAGGAUGAGAUGGGCUAGAACAGAGAGCACACACUUGUGCUUGGGGAAAGUUUGGUAGAUGUUCUCUAGAUAUUAGUUGGUCCAACUUGCGGGACCGUACAUCUACUUUGUCAGAUAGACCUAUGGACUGGCUAACUUCAUAUAUGGUCCCUUUUCUUUGAGAACUCGGGAGUGCUUGACGAGUGGAGGAGGCAUGGUGGAGAGAAUUUUCAUUGAGAUUUUCAAAUAAUUGCCAUGCCUCAUGUUCACUUUUAAGCAUGAAAGUUUCACCACAAGAAGCAUCAACCAUUUGACGAUUUUGUUCAGACAACCCGUCAUAAAAGCAUUGUACUAAUUGCCACUUGGGUUUUUGAUGAUGCGGGCAUUUUCGGAGUAGGUCUUUAAAUUUUUCCCAAGUUUCAUGAAAUUCUUACCCAUCAGAUUGAGAGAAGCUCGUGAUAGCACGCCUAAAUUGGUUUGUUCUUUCUAUAGAAAAAUAUUUUUUCAGAAAUUCAUGUUGCAUUUGAGCCCAUAAAAGAAUAGAAUUGGCUUCUAAUGAAUGGAGCCACUGUUUAGCUCUAUCCUUAAGAGAAAAAGGGAAUAGCCUAAGUUUCAGAGCAUCAUCAGUGAAGUUCUGAAUUUUGACAGUCGUGCAGAUCUCAAGAACUCAUCUAAAUGUUUGUAUGGGUCUUCAUUGUUGAGUCCAUAAAAAGAGGAAAGCAUUUGGAUGAUACUAGACUUAAUUUCAAACUGUACAGCAGCAGUGGUAUCAGGUAGUCGAAUACAAGAUGGAGAGGUAUAAAUAGAAGGAGUAAAGUACUUCUUUAACAACUUGGGUUGUUCUUCAGCCAUCUCGACAGGUGGAGCAGAUCCUAUGGUUCUAUAGGUGCAGAUUUCGGCUCGAAGGGCCUUAAUAGAACACUCUAUUUUAGAAUCAAAAGGUACUAAUUCAGGAGAUCUGGAACGAUACCCUAGCAUACACUAAUACUCUUCUGAUCAGUCAAGUACAGUCAAGCAUGCACUAAAAGAAAAACACAUCAAAUUCUUGUAUUUGCCCUAAAAUCACUAGACAGCUCCUAACUAGUUUGAAGAGGGCACCUAAGCCUCCAAUCCGGUCUAAUGAACUGAGUUGACCAGGUAAGCUCCCAGAUAAGUGGGGGGGUCACGAUGCGUUUGCAAAGGUCCCACUUAAAAACCACUUGUCUCGAACAGAUGAACUGUCUUCCUUAUAGGGACAAAGCUUGCCUAGACAUCAACUGAGCCAUAAAGCGAAAUUGGUGCAACUUUCAGUGAUCUUCGUCCUAUUGAGCUCGAAUGUCCCUAGGGGCCAACGUCUAAUUGAUUUUAAUUAAAGUGAUAGCUAUGUGAGAAUUGAUUCACCUAAUUUGAGCAAGAAUCUGGUGAUGAAAUCCAGUUCUUAUCUUGUUAAGGUGAUUGCCCUUACUAUGUGCAUGAUAUAUUAAGUGGUGUGUCAAGCAAUCAUACAUGCCUUGCUCAAAUUAAAUCAAACAAUCACAACAAGGAUUCAAAUGCAUGAGAAAAGACAGGAGAGGUUUAGAGGUUACCAAGCAAUAAUUGCAGUAGGCUAAUUGAUCAAACUUUUUCCAUACGUGUCCUCUAGUCGUCCAGAAUUCUUUCCUUCUUUCUUCUUUUUUUUUUUUGAUAGUCCUAAAAAAAUAAAUAAUGAUUAGUACAUCUCAAAAAUAUAAGAAAAUAGAUGUAUCCAAUUGCUAAAAAGAAAAAAAUAAAAAUAAAUAAAUAAAAAGAAAACAACCGUGCUAGCAAUCCCCAGCAAUGGUGCCAAAAAUUGACAGUCAAUUUUAAAGACCACGCAAUAGCACGUAUCUGGUAGGACAGUGAUUACGGGUAUCGAUCUACAGGGAUUGGGGUACAAUUGGUUUCUUAAAAAUAUUUGAAAAAGAGAGUUUUGUAAAGACUAUUGAACUAAGCAACUUAAUAAGGGAUGCAAUUAAAAAUGAUAUGAAUAAAAGAACCUAGGGCAAGAAAUUCACCACUAACAUAGGAACAAAGAUUAAUUGUAUUUUAAUUUAUUCUUGGAUUAACAUGCAAAUUGGCUACAAGCCUAAUAAGCAUUUAAAUAGAAAUUCACAAAAGCAAUUUGGGAAUCAUCCAUCUUCAGUUGGCAUGAAAUGUCUACCCUAAUCUAAAGUGGUAGCACACCACAUCUUCCUUAAGCAUGGACUAUCUUAUAUUUACUUAGUGAUCAUGAAGAAUACUUGCAUAAAUAUCAUACUUAAAAUUACAGACCCUAAGCAUGAGGUAAAAGGAUAUUCAAUAAGAUCAAUUAAGUUCAUACAAUUCCAAAAACAAAAUAAAAAAUACAAGAACCGUUGUUGCCUUUGUUAGGGCUUCAUCCUGCCCUAAUGAAGAGAUCAAGCUUCCAUGGAGAAUUGAACAGCCGCAGCAGUGGGACUUCCCGAAUAAAGCUUGCAUCUCUUCUUCUCUUCCUUUCUCCUCUGAUCCUCUCCUCCCUUCUUUGUCUUCCGUGGGACUUCCCGAAUAAAUGAAUUACUGGAUGGGAUCGGGUGAGAAAAGAAUGCCUCCUCUAUUCACGCCUGACCCCUUUUAUAGGCUGCCCACCUCCAUCUCUCCUCCCCUGUGGUUGUUCCGAAUGAGAGGAUAAAGACGUGAGCUGAUCCGGGUGUUGGAAGAGGCUGAGCUGGGAGCUGAUCGCACGGAAGGAGUUGACGACGAAUCGCAGAGAAGACGCGUGAGACCGUUGAGAACAAGCGGGUGCUGGGAGGAAAUGGAGGAGUUGUCUGUUUUGCUAAGCUGGGGAGCUUGAUCCGUGGACGCAACGUGGACAAUGCUUACGGCUAGGGGACUCGGAAGAUGCGGGAAUUUGAAGGAGACUUGUGGUUGGCUAAGGGUAAUCCGGACUGCUGUGAUGCGUGGGAGGAAUUCAUCACGGGUGGAAGCUGGAUGAUGGUCCGGAAGACGUUGGGUUGUUGUUCACGGCUGAGAUGAAGACUGGAUCAACGUGGACGUGAAGCUGGAUACGAGCUAGGAUUUAGAGCUUAUCCGUGGUUCCUAGACUCAAUCUGGAACGAGAAGAAGUUUGGGAUCCAUGUGUGGAAGUUUGGGAUGUUGGGAAGAAUCCGUGGGUGAUGAAGGCUAGAUUUUGCUGGGAACAGGGGAUCUUUAGACGCGGAAGAUCUCAUAAAGUUGGCUGCGGAUGUGGAGCAGGGGAGAAGAACUCAUCCAUGGAUGAAGGAAGCCUUGAAUCGCGGACGCGGGGAAGAUGAUCUCUGUUUUGGGAUGCAAGGGAGGAUGCGUUUGGAUGCCUUGAAGCUCGGGAGGAUGAAGUCGAAUCGUGGAGAAGGACUGGUUGCUUGAUCCGAAUGGGAGAAGAGAAGAUCACGGUUGCUUGAAGGAAAUCUGGGAAGAAAAUCUUGGAUCUGGUUCUAUCUUGGGUGGAUAAGCUCGGGAAGAGGGCGCAGAGAAGGGACUGUUCCCAUGAAGUCUGGGAAUAGGCUGAAGCGUAAAAGCAAGGGAUAAGCUUGGAUUUGCUGGGAUUGGAGUGGCUAAUUGCAAAUGGGAUGAAGGUUGGACAGCUAUGGAUGACGUGGGAUGAAAAUGGAGUUGAUCCGGAACGAGAGGAUCUGGGAGGAUCAAAGCUAAUCCGGACUUGAUUCAGGAUGUUUGAGGCGCUGAGAUGGAUUACGUGGACGUUGAAGUCACUCCGAAAUGCUGGAAGGACUCCUUCGGCUGGAACAUGUCCAUUCGGCUGGUAAUAUGUCCAUUCGAGACUAUUUGGGUGGGAAGAGGUUCACGUGGCUGGGAAGUUCGGAAGGAAUCACAUAAAAGGUGGGAUGCUGGGAGGAAAUUGGACACAGUGGACGGCUAUUCCGCUGAAGAGGGGAUAAGGAUGCAAGGCUUGACUAGUGAGGCGCGGGAUGAGUAGCCUGGGACUUGGUUAAUGACUGGGAUCAGGGGGUGAUGAAAAUUGAUAGUUUGGGAGGAAACAGAUGCACUCGGGAAGGCGUGAAGAAGAGGAGUUGGGAUGAAUGGCUGAAUCAGAAUCUGAGAGGAUUUGAUUCGUGGGGUGCAAGUGAUUUGGGUUCAGGAAUUAUCUCAAAUGAGUUCGACUCGACCUGCAUAUAUUAGACUCAAUCCGUAAAUAAUCAAAUCAAACUCGAAUUACCUUUAGUAAUUUAUUAAAAUUCAAUGAUGAAGGUAACGCAUC
rnacentral:lncRNA from 1 species